GCGUAACACGUGGGCAAUUUGCCUUAAAGUGUGGGAUAGCUCGGCGAAAGCCGAAUUAAUACCGCAUGUGGCUACUGGAGACAUCUUCGGGACGCUAAAGGUGGCGCAAGCUACCGCUUUUUGAGGAGCCCGCGGCCUAUCAGCUUGUUGGUGAGGUAACGGCUCACCAAGGCGUUGACGGGUAGCUGGUCUGAGAGGACGACCAGCCACACUGGGACUGAGACACGGCCCAGACACCUACGGGUGGCAGCAGUCGAGAAUUUUUGACAAUGGGGGAAACCCUGAUCGAGCGACGCCGCGUGGAGGAUGAAGGUCUUCGGGUUGUAAACUCCUGUCAUUUGGGAACAAGGCGUGGUUAUUAACUGUAGUCACGUUGAUAGUACCAGAAGAGGAAGAGACGGCUAACUCUGUGCCAGCAGCCGCGGUAAUACAGAGGUCUCAAGCGUUGUUCGGAUUCAUUGGGCGUAAAGGGUGUGUAGGUGGCGCGCUAAGUCGGGUGUGAAAUUUCGGAGCUUAACUCCGAAACUGCAUUCGAUACUGGCGUGCUUGAGGACUGGAGAGGAGACUGGAAUUUACGGUGUAGCAGUGAAAUGC
rnacentral:rRNA from 1 species